UGGCUCAGUCAGUAGAGCGUCCGCCUCACAACCGGGAGGUCGUGGGUUCGAACCCCC
rfam:Strongylocentrotus purpuratus Contig115996_fixed, whole genome shotgun sequence.